rnacentral:rRNA from 1 species
GAUGAACGCUGGCGGCGUGCCUAAUACAUGCAAGUCGAGCGAAAAGACGAGGAGUUUGCUCCUCUGACGUUAGCGGAGGACGGGUGAGUAACACGUGGAUAACCUCCCUAUAAGACUGGGAUAACUUCGGGAAACCGGAGCUAAUACCGGAUAAUAUCUUGAACCGCAUGGUUCAUUAGUGAAAGACGGUUUUGCUGUCACUUAUAGAUGGAUCCGCGCGGCAUUAGCUAGUUGGUAAGGUCACGGCUUACCAAGGCAACUAUGCGUAGCCGACCUGAGUGAGUGGUCGGCCACACGGGAACGGAGACGCGGACCAGACGCCUGCGGGACGGAGCAGAAGGGAAUCGUCCGCAGUGGGCGAAAGCCUGACGGAGCAACGCCACGUGAGUGAUGAAGGUCUUCGGAUCGUAAAACUCUGUUAUUAGUGAAGAACAAAUGUGUAAGGAACCAUGCACUUCUUGACGGUACCUAAUCAGAAAGCCACGGCUAACUACGUG